rnacentral:misc_RNA from 1 species
AUACGCCGAAUCCUUGUAUGGGCUUCAUCACCACAGUGAGUGAAUUAGACAAAUGUAUUAGAUAAUAAGUAAUUCUAAAGUGUGGUUUUCUUUGUGGCAUUAGUGAUGGUGAUCUCAAAACUUGUAAAUCAUCUGAAAGAAGUGUGCUUAAUUUGGAUAAUAUAAAAAUCUUUCAGCUACCAUUCUGUAAUGUCAUAAACCAGAAAAAAAGUACAUUUUGAGAAAUUGAGAAAAAGAAAGAGAAAUACCUGGCCAGGGA